rnacentral:rRNA from 1 species
UACGGAGGAGGCAAGCGUUAUCCGGAUUUAUUGGGUUUAAAGGGUGCGCAGGUUGUUUGAUAAGUCAGUGGUGAAAGUCUGUCGCUUAACGGUAGGAUUGCCAUUGAUACUGUUGGACUUGAAUAUGGAUGAGGUAGGCGGAAUGUGUAGUGUAGCGGUGAAAUGCAUAGAUAUUACACAGAACACCGAUUGCGAAGGCAGCUUACUAAUCCAUCAUUGACGCUGAGGCACGAAAGCGUGGGGAUCAAACAGGA